AUGUCUUAUCGUGCUCCUAACCCGUCUGAGGAGAAGCCUCAACCCAAAAAGUGGGAGGUAAUCGUGUUUACUAAUCACAUGAACCGGGGCUUCGCUCCACCCCGUUCAAAAUUCUUCAGGGAUGUUUUGCAUUUCUUUGACCCCAGAGCUCAAGACAUUGGGCCCAAUUCUGUGUCAAACAUUUGCAACUUCCAAGUCUUUUGUGAGGUGUACUUUGGAGAAGAGCCCAAUAUACUUUUAUUCAGAGAGCUGUUCUAUUUAAACCGGCAGAAGGAACGUGCCAACGGGCCCAGUCUUGAACUCGGUGGCAUCUCGAUUCAGCGGCGGAGAGACUGCCUCUUUCCUUAUGCUGAACUGCCAAGUCACCCAAAGGAUUGGAACCAGACAUGGUUCUACUGUCAGGACACUUCUCCCGCUGAGGAAAAUCCUCUGCCAGGUUUCCGCGCCCUGCGCCUUGAGUCCAACCACCCGCUGCCGGAUAAAGUGACUACUGUUGAACGUCUGCCACUUGCUCCCACCAUUAGAAAAAUCAAAGCUCUUUUGGGAAAUGGCUUAGACGGCAUUGACCUGGUCCGAGUCUGGAUUACUUGGCACAUGCUUCCGUUAAGCCGCCGCCCCGGCUUAAUGUGCACUUACUCCGGCAAGAAGGAUGACCCACUGCGUCAUAGCCCCGAUGACUUACCAGAAGAUGUGGUGGAGGCCAUGAUCCAAUCGUUGUUGAAAGAAGGCACGAUGAUUAGUAAUGCCUUUGGCUUACUUCCCUUCUGCAAGAAGAACCCAGCCCCUGCUGAUGAUGACAACUUCUGGAAGGUCAAAUAUAACCAUGAGGCAGCCAAACAAGCCAGAGCGGCAAAAAGAGCUGAGAGGAAAGCCGCCAAAACAGGAACUUCAAGGAAGAAGAAAACUAGCGCUUCGGAUUUACUCAAAUUGGAUGACACUUCUGAUGAUGAAGAAGAGGAGGAUACGGGGAACAGCCAAGCGAUUGAUGAAGAGGUAACUAUAAUCUCCUCCGACUCAGAGCCUUUGCCAAAGCAAAAAAUCCAAAGGGUCACCCAGAAAGUAAGAUUUUGA
rnacentral:rRNA from 1 species